UCUCCGUAGGUGAACCUGCGGAGGGAUCAUUACAGAGUUCUCGCCCUCGCGGGUAGAUCUCCCACCCACUGUUAUCGUUACUGUGUUGCUUUGGCGGGCCGCCGGGCCCCGCUCGGCCGCCGGCUCCGGCUGGCGCGCGCCCGCCAGAGGCCCAGCAAACUCUGAAUGUUAGUGUCGUCUGAGUACUACAUAAUAGUUAAAACUUUCAACAACGGAUCUCUUGGUUCUG
rnacentral:misc_RNA from 1 species